GUCACACGCCACGCAAAGGCCAGCAGCUACUACAAGAGGAGCGCUGGGGAUGUGACAGACCUGAGACAGGGGGAUGUGUCCCAGCCGGCUGCGCUUGGCACGACGCAGAAAACUGAGCUGAUGUCUUGUCUCCUUUCCCGUGCCCAAACCCCACCGCUUGCAGGUUUCUAGUGGUUUUUUUUGACAUUCCCUGCUGGCAAAGGGGGAUGGAGACAGGAGAUUGAGCCUGAGCACCUUCAUCGACAGAGAAAUCUGCAGAACAUGGAGGGGAAGUGAUGUGCCUGGUGCUGGAAGGAGCAGGGCCCGAGGCCGGAUGGCUGCGGAGCUCCAGCCUACACAGGGGAGCUCCAUCAAACAUCACAAGGGACACAAGCAGGAUGUUGACACCUCAUGACUUGUACCCAUGGAUGAAGGGGAUGGUGAGCACUAAGAAAAUGCAAAUGCAGCUGAGGAUUAGCAAAAGCAAUUAUGAAAAACAAGUAGUGGAAAUAAUGAUUCAUCAGGAAUUGAAUCUGAUGUUGAGCCCAGUCCUGCACUCGACAGCUCAGGACCCUGGAAAACACAUCCUUCUCACCCCACAGAUACUCCUCUCCCCACCAAAACUUCGAGUCAAAAAGAAACACUGCAUAACAUUGAAGCCAGAUAGGAAGAUCUGUGUGAAAGUUUACAUCAAGCCAGAGGCCAGACUGAGUGGUUCAGUCUCUCUGAACAAAAAUACCAUAAAUAUACCUGCCUAUAUUAUUUCCUA